rnacentral:miRNA from 1 species
CUAUUAGCAUUUAGGUGCAAAAGUGAUUGCGGUUCUUGCCAUUAUUUUCAGUAGCAAAAAUCGCAAUUGCUUUUGCACCAACUUCAUAC